GACGAACGCUGGCGGCGUGCUUAACACAUGCAAGUCGAACGGAAAGGCCCUGCUUUUGUGGGGUGCUCGAGUGGCGAACGGGUGAGUAACACGUGAGUAACCUGCCCUUGACUUUGGGAGAACUUCAGGAAACUGGGGCUAAUACCGGAUAGGAGCUCCUGCUGCAUGGUGGGGGUUGGAAAGUUUCGGCGGUUGGGGAUGGACUCGCGGCUUAUCAGCUUGUUGGUGGGGUAGUGGCUUACCAAGGCUUUGACGGGUAGCCGGCCUGAGCGGGUGACCGGCCACAUUGGGACUGAGAUACGGCCCAGACUCCUACGGGAGGCAGCAGUGGGGAAUAUUGCACAAUGGGCGGAAGCCUGAUGCAGCAACGCCGCGUGCGGGAUGACGGCCUUCGGGUUGUAAACCGCUUUCGCCUGUGACGAAGCGUGAGUGACGGUAAUGGGUAAAGAAGCACCGGCUAACUACGUG
rnacentral:rRNA from 1 species